rnacentral:rRNA from 1 species
UACGUAGGGGGCAAGCGUUGUCCGGAUUUAUUGGGCGUAAAGAGCGUGUAGGCGGCUUCACAGGUCCGCUGUGAAAACCCGAGGCUCAACCUCGGGCCUGCAGCCGAUACGGGCAGACUAGAGUUCGGCAGGGGAGACUGGAAUUUCUGGUGUAGCGGUGAAAUGCGCAGAUAUCAGGAGGAACACCGGUGGCGAAGGCGGGUCUCUGGGCCGAUACUGACGCUGAGGAGCGAAAGCGUGGGGAGCGAACAGG